rnacentral:misc_RNA from 1 species
GAUGAAGAACGCAGCGAAAUGCGAUAAGUAAUGUGAAUUGCAGAAUUCAGUGAAUCAUCGAAUCUUUGAACGCACAUUGCGCCCUCUGGUAUUCCGGGGGGCAUGCCUGUUCGAGCGUCAUUAUAACCACUCAAGCUCUCGCUUGGUAUUGGGGUUCGCGGUUCCGCGGCCCCUAAAAUCAGUGGCGGUGCCUGUCGGCUCUACGCGUAGUAAUACUCCUCGCGAUUGAGUCCGGUAGGUCUACUUGCCAGCAACCCCCAAUUUUUACAGGUUGACCUCGGAUCAGGUAGGGAUACCCGCUGAACUUAAGCAUAUCAAUAAGCGGAGAA